rnacentral:rRNA from 1 species
GACAGAGGGUGCAACCGUUGUUCGGAAUUACUGGGCGUAAAGCGCGUGUAGGCGGCUUUGCAAGUCGGGCGUGAAAUCCCACGGCUCAACCGUGGAAGUGCACUCGAAACUGCAGAGCUAGAGUCCUGGAGAGGAAGGUGGAAUGCUUGGUGUAGAGGUGAAAUUCGUAGAUAUCAAGCGGAACACCGGUGGCGAAGGCGGCCUUCUGGACAGUGACUGACGCUGAGACGCGAAAGCGUGGGGAGCAAACAGG